UAAUACGGAGGGUGCAAGCGUUAUCCGGAUUUACUGGGUUUAAAGGGUGUGUAGGCGGGCUAUUAAGUCAGGGGUGAAAUCCCGGGGCUCAACCUCGGAACUGCCUUUGAUACUAUUAGUCUUGAAUUAUGUUGAGGUUGGCGGAAUAUAACAUGUAGCGGUGAAAUGCAUAGAUAUGUUAUAGAACACCGAUUGCGAAGGCAGCUGGCUAAACAUAUAUUGACGCUGAGGCACGAAAGCGUGGGUAGCGAACAGG
rnacentral:rRNA from 1 species